UGCCAGCAGCCGCGGUAAUACGGAGGGGGCUAGCGUUGUUCGGAAUUACUGGGCGUAAAGCGCGCGUAGGCGGGCUGUUAAGUCGGGGGUGAAAUCCCGGGGCUCAACCCCGGAACUGCCUUCGAUACUGGCAGCCUAGAGAUCUGGAGAGGCGAGUGGAAUUCCGAGUGUAGAGGUGAAAUUCGUAGAUAUUCGGUGGAACACCAGUGGCGAAGGCGGCUAACUGGACUGAUACUGACGCUGAGGUGCGAAAGUGUGGGGAGCAAACAGGAUUAGAUA
rnacentral:rRNA from 1 species